AUAUGAAAAGAGUUCUGGGAUUGAUAGGACACGCACAAUUUUUUGGAGCAGAUUUUGAGGUGGCACGUCUUGGGUCAUCAUGAUGGAAUUAAAUAUUUGUCAUCUUAUCAUCUGCUUUUUGAAUUAUGGCGCUGAUUCUUAUAACCGACGGCAGUGGCUGAACAAAUAGAAGAAUGACAUGUGUGCUAUGUUCUUCGACUUGUUGGGAAAGAAAUGAUUUGAUAUCCGGAUGAUACAUUCUCCUGGCUAUAAAUAGAAGAAGUGCUUGUCUUUGAUCUCUCUGAUUUCUACCAGAGUCUUCCAUUCCCUCUUUUUUUCGUUUGUUACAGUAGCUUUUUGAAGCAAGGGAUGCUACUCCUUCCACGGCGUAAUCCUUCCCGAAGGAUUUUCAGAGUUUUUUGGUGACUACUUCAUUUCU
rnacentral:lncRNA from 1 species